rnacentral:misc_RNA from 1 species
GAUGAAGAACGUAGCGAAAUGCGAUAAGUAAUGUGAAUUGCAGAAUUCAGUGAAUCAUCGAAUCUUUGAACGCACAUUGCGCCCGCCAGUAUUCUGGCGAGCAUGCCUGUUCGAGCGUCAUUUCAACCAUCAAGCCCCAGGCUUGUGUUGGAGCCCUGCGGCUGCCGCAGCCUCCCAAAACCAGUGGCGGGCUCGCUAUCACACCGAGUGCAGAGUUUACUCUUCGCUCAGGGCGUGUGGCGGGUGCUAGCCGUGAAACCCCCAACUUCUCAAGGUUGACCUCGGAUCAGGUAGGAAUACCCGCUGAACUUAAGCAUAUCAAUAAGCGGAGGA